CGCAUGAGGAAGUUGUGUUGUUGUUGUGAUGACGGAGUGGAUGUAGCGGCCGGAGAAUUGUCUGUACUGUAACUUUGUUACUCAGUGUUAGAUUAAUAAAUCCUCAAAGAAAGUAAAGCGGACUUUUAUUCACCAACCCCGGGACGAAGGGAAUUAACCCCAAAGUUUACUUAGCCGACAGUACUUUGGCCCUGGAGCAGACAGCAACGCCUCCCCCUGCAAACUCCGACUACGGUCAGAGACGGACCGGCAGGAAAGCGUGCAGCCGGGCGCAGCUAAAUGACACGUAAUGUAUUAUGGCCCGUGCAAAGUCAUGCCACCAGUCUGAGGACAUCACUGGGAAUGGCACAUGGGACACGUGGCUUUCAACUCCAGCGAGACCCAAGUCGACUGGACCACAGCGGAAAAUGAUCCUUCCAGAGAAGAAGUUAUUUACUUCUACAACGAAUGGAAGAGUUACAACUUCCAGAUGACAGCUCGCCGCUCAUCCUUCUGGGCAACUUGAACAUCCGACAGAACUUAUGUGACCUACUGCGUUUAUUUUCUCCUUUAGCUCUCACUAACUCUAACUUGCCCCAGCACCUGUUGUGAUUUAUUCUAGCGCUUCCACAAUUGAAUUUUGCUUGGUAUUUCAUCUAACUUGCCCCAGCACCUGUUGUGAUUUAUUCUAGCGCUUCCACAAUUGAAUUUUGCUUGUUAUUUUAUCUAACUUGCCCCAGCACCUGUUGUGAUUAAUUCUCUCUCACGGUGUCAAGUGUGUACCUUGAUCUUUUUUUUGCUCAUUGCAGCCCUUCUCUGCAAGGAGUGCUAACAAUGCAUGGUGCUGUUCAUUAAGCAACUGGGUAAAGAGCUUGUAAUGCCACAUAUGAAAAAGCUCAUAAGCUCAUUUAUAAUAAAAUAAUAUAUAUAAUCUUG